GUACUUGCUUCGGCAGUACAUAUAAUAAAUUGGAUACGAUACAGAGAAGGUGCGGCAUGGCCCUGCGAAAGGAUGACCGCUUGAGUGUAGGCGUUUCUGUGUUGGU